rnacentral:misc_RNA from 1 species
UUAAGUUCAGCGGGUAUCCCUACCUGAUCCGAGGUCAACCAUAGAAAAUUGGGGGUUGCUGGCUAGCAUCCGCCGGGGCUCUAUAGCGAGAAGAAUUACUACGCUCAGAGCCCGACGGCACCGCCACUGGUUUUAGGGCCCGCCGGGUUAGCGGCGCGGCCCAACACCAAGCAUUGCUUGAGGGUUGUAAUGACGCUCGA